ACUGCCCCUUCCAUACCCAACCACCACCUCAACAUACGAGGAGGAGGGAAGUGGUGAACUGCCCCUUCCAUACCCAACCACCACCUCAACAUACGAAGAGGAGGGAAGUGAUGAACUGCCCCUUCCAUACCAAACCACCACCUCAACAUACGAGGAGGGACUACAAGGAGAGAAGCCACCUCAAGAUGAAACUGUACUACCCAAUGACCAGAGGAGUCCAUGCAGCAGUAUUACUGAAAAGGCAACUGAGAAUGGAGAAAUAAAGCCUUGUGGCAGAGGUACUAAGAGCUGCAUUGUAAGUGGCUGCACAGCUGUUGUGAUUCACCUGCCUCGACACCUGAGACAGGUGCACCAGUGGAGCCCUAAAGAGGCCCGAGAUGCUGUCCACUCCCUCAGGAAGCCGUGGUCACCAACGAGCCGCCCAUUACAGAUGUGUCCAGUGGAGGGAUGUGGUCGCAUGACACAGAGGAUUCCCAACAUUUGAGAACAUACCACAAACUGCAUAUACUGUAGGUUCACAGGAUAGAAGCAACAUGCAAGUUGCAGAUGACGAUGCUUGUUGACUUAUCCAAUAUUUGGACUGAAGCAAGUGGAGCUGCCAGACACAGUGAGAACAUGCAACCCCAUUUCGACUGUUAGCAAGUGGCCAAAGAAGUAAUGUCAGAGGACUUCUCUGUGAUCUCUCAACAAAAGACUUAACCAAAGAUCCUUUAGAACACUUUCUCAACCGUCUCUGACUUAACUAUUGGCUCAGUCACACCUCUUCACUCUCCUAAUUCUCUCGUCCUGGGCUGGGGCUUUUAAAGAAAAUAACUGAGGGUGACCGUAGGGGCUGGAGCUAAAGCACAAGUGAUGUGCAGCACCACAGGUGCUAAGUUGCCUCAACUCUGCAGAGGGUUGAGAUAGAUAUAACAAAAUAAAAAUACAUUUUAAAACAA